CGUGCCCCUGUUCCUCGCGGCACACCCGACUUCCCUUCCCUUCUCCCUCUUCCCUUCUCUCCUUCAUGCAGCACCCGCACACAACCCUCUUCCCGUUUCCUUUCUCCAUUUUCUCUGCACUGCACCGCACGCCCCCUCUCUCUUCUUCUCUUUUCCUUUUCUUUCUUCUCCCUUUUCUCUCUUUCCCCGCACCCAGCCCGAUUCCUUUUUCUUCUUUUUCUUCCUCCCUUCCUCUCAGUUCCAACCGUGAUGAAGCACCUGAAUCCCUCCAUUUUUCCUUCUCUUCUUCCUAUCACACGCAUCAGCCCUCUUUCCCUUCUCUUCUUCUCUUUUCUUUCUCUCUUUCCCUCACAAUCCCAGCAACCCAGCAGCUCCCUCCCCUUUUCGCACUUCCUCUUCGAUCACACCCAGAGCAGAGAGAGAUCGUGAGAAACGGUCAGAGGGAAGCACUGAGAGAGAGACGAUUUGAAGUCCGGGGGAAGCCGAGACCGUGACCCGUGUGGCAUGGGAGAGAAAUUGGUGACCGGAGGCCCGAUAUUCCGGCAAUUCAGCAGCGAGUCGAAGCAAAGGGCACCGGCGCAUCGUCAGAGGGCAUGAAAUCUGGUUGAAUCAGGGGCACUUCCGGUGGUUUUUCUUAAACUUCAAACAGAAAUUUUCAAAGGGUCGUGUAGUAAUUGAACCUUCAAUGGGUUCUUCAAUGUAGAGUUGGAGUCGUGAGUUCAAUGCAGCCAGGUGAUAUUUUACUCACUGAAAAACUAUAUUUUUAUGUUUGCUAGAAUAGCAAAAUAUAUGUGUUUUAUAAAUUCGAACCAACUGUAUGUUGAUUAUCUGUUUUGGUUGAUUUGAGUAGUUUCAAUUAUGUUCAAAUAAUAUCAAUGAUGUUAUGAUAUGAUGUAUGGAUGAAAUGUGUAGAAUUGUUUUUAAAGUAUUUGAAUGGAGCUGCAGUUGAGAUUUAAAUUAUGCAAAGUAAAAUGAUAAAAUUACAUGUUAAUUGGUUUAUUGUAUUUGAAGAAAGCAUGAUUUGUAAAGAAUAGGAGAAUAGAGUUUGAAUUGUAAAGCAUAAAGCAUGAGCAUAAAAGGAAUGAAAGGACAAAGUAUAAAGAAUGAAAGGACAAAGCACAAGGAAUGAAAGGAUUGACAAAAGGAAUGGAAGGACAAUCAUGAGCAUGCAUAUCAUUGUUAAAUUGUAUAAUGUUUUCUUGAUAUAGAAUAUUGUAGUUUUUAUGCUAGACGUAUUAGUAUGCCUAAGAGUUUUAAUGGCAAAAGAGCUUAUGUAUAUUGUUAUCGUCUAGUUGCAUAAUUUUAGAACAUUUAGCUUGGACGAACAAGAAUAUUGUCAUGGUUCGGUAUGAGUAAUACAGCGUCCUAGGAGUAGGUAGAUGAAUUGUCGUGGCACGUCAGUAGGAAGUGCUUGGAUACCCGAGUUUUACUCUAGUAACCGCAUGGACAACUACGUGCUCGACAUGAAGUUGUAAUGCCCUAGGAUUCUGUGUUAACCAUGUUCAGAAAAUGAUAGUAAGCUUGUACUGAUGAGCGAGAUGGCAUGUUUUAAGCUUCGUGUACUUGGUUUUGACGCUAUUGGUUGCGAUAUCGGUGUGGCUUGGGAGUAGGUAGAUGGAUUGUCGUGGCACAUCAAUAGGAAGUGCUUGGAUAUCAGAGUCUUACUCUAGUAACCGCAUGGACAACUAUGUGCUCGGCAUGAAGUUGUAAUGCCCUGAGGCACAUUGUUAUCAUAGUUAAUAUCGUUAGGCCUAUGUGCAUUUGAGCUACCAACAUAAAAGUAUUAUUGUAGGUGGGUUUAUAUAUGGUUGCUUCCAAGCCAAUGGAACUUCUACGUAUGGGUCCAACUACAUAGUAUGUUUUAAAUGUUUUCUAAUAGUCGGUGUUUGCUAUAUCAGCUAUGGGGGUUUUCAAACAAAAUUUUAUACUUUGGUAGCUGUUAUAGUGUACGCGAGACUAAAAAGAAAAGUUGGUUCAUUUGGAAAACUCAGUUAAUUUAAUAUCACUGAGGUCUCGGUAUUAUGUACUGAGGUGGUGAACUCAUCAUUUCAACUAUACGGAUGUGGCAAACCCCCACAACCGUAUAGAUGAUGUCUCUUGGCUCCAGGUACUCGGGUCGUAGUUGAUGGGGUCAUAGACGUGCAUUUGGGAUAUUAUGACCAGAGCUCACAGCGACGGUCGUAAUUGCAGGACCAUGGGCGUCCUCAGUUUUAUAGGUUUUGUUAUGGCUUGUGACGCAUGUGUCACUCGUUAUUGUGUAAAGCCAUUUCUGUUAUGUAUUUAUAUUGAGGAAAGACUUAAACACAUAGAUGUUAAAUGGCUCCUAUUAUUAAUUUAUAAUAGAUAUUUAAGAUGUGA